UACGUAGGGCGCAAGCGUUAUCCGGAAUUAUUGGGCGUAAAGAGCUCGUAGGCGGUGUGUCGCGUCGGCCGUGAAAACCUGUAGCUUAACUGUGGGCUUGCGGUCGAUACGGGCAUCACUGGAGUUCGGCAGGGGAGACUGGAAUUCCUGGUGUAGCGGUGAAAUGCGCAGAUAUCAGGAGGAACACCGGUGGCGAAGGCGGGUCUCUGGGCCGAUACUGACGCUGAGGAGCGAAAGCGUGGGGAGCGAACAGG
rnacentral:rRNA from 1 species